UGGAACGAUGGGAAUGCCUACGGGAGGAGGAGCUCCUGGGAGCGAGAUCAGGAUUUUGAGUUUGGAUAUGUUAAGCUUGAGAUGUUUCUUGUAGUCAAACAUGCAACUGGAUACAUUAGGCUGGACUUCAGGAGAGAGGCCCAGGCUAGAGAAAUAAAAUGGGAACUCAUUCACAUAGGAAUUCGAGGCCUGAGACUGAACGAGAUCACCACCAAGGCACUGUGCACAGAGAAGAGGUCCCAGAUCUGACCUCUGGGGCUUGUCAGUGCUUAGAGAUCAGGGAGAUGAAGCUGAGAAGGAGCAACUAGGAGCACCUGGUGUCCUGGAAGCCAGGAAAAGCCAGUGCUUCAAGGAGGAAGAGGUGUUCACCUGGGUCCGGUGUUGCUGAUGGGAGAAGUGAUAUUUGGAUGGACCACAAGAAGAGCUUUGGGUGACACGCGGUGGCCCAGGUUCAACCAAUGAAGCAACGCACGGGGCAGGGCUCCUUGCCAUUUUUGUGCCUUGGACCACUUGGCUGUCUGAUGAAGACCAUGGAUGCUUCUCAGAAGACUGUUC
rnacentral:lncRNA from 1 species